AAAAAAUCUUUUGCCUCUUUCGGCUUCAUGGCCUUCAAUAGUGCUGGGCUGUGGCUGGCUGGCCAAAUGCCUUAAAGGGGGUCCCAAAAUGGAAUGUGAUGGUAAAAGGCCUGGAGUGUAUUUAAGAUGGGUAAGUAGGGUUAGGUUCAUCUGCAUCAAGGGACCUUCUUCUCACUUAGCACCACCCAGAGGUAGCAGGUGGAACAGCCGCAUGCAGCCUUCAUUCAAGCCACCAUGUCAGGCACUGAACUUUGUGGAGAAAGUGGUUCUUGUCCCAAGACCCUUCCACUGGGCAGAUCACAAGAGCAUGCAGUUGUGUUCAUGUUUUGAAUGCUUGGUUCCCAACUUGUGGCAGUACUUUAAAGACUGUGCAGACUAAGCAGUGGGGCCUGGCUGGCAGAAAUAGAGCACUAGCAGUUGGCCUUUGGAGGUUAUAUGCACCCUGGCUCUACCUUACACUCUCUGCUUCCUGAUCAUCCAGGAUGUGAACAAGUCUCUCCUGGGCCUCAUGUCUUCUCACACUGAGAACUCUGAAGCCAUGAACCAACGUAAUCAUCAACAGAGGCUUGCAGGAAAGCUCUCUGUGCAUUGCACACAUCUUUGAGGUGUUAACCAAGUGGCCUGGGGCUCAACCCCUUAUCUAUGAGCUGAUGACAGAAAGAAAGAAUCAGAGAAGAAACGAGUGUGGUUAUCAGGGUCUUGGAACCCCUGCAGGGACAACCCCUUGGAAGUACCCCAAAUCCUGAGCAGAGUACUCACGACUACCCUCCAGGAGCAAAUGGCCUGAUCUGCAAUGCUAGACCCCCAACAAACCGGGGGUGUCUUGCAUUUUUUCAAAGGAACUAAAAUGGCUGUCUGCGCUG
rnacentral:lncRNA from 1 species